CUGNAACCCGCCUGCAUGAAGUCGGAAUUGCUAGUAAUCGCGGAUCAGCAUGCCGCGGUGAAUACGUUCCCGGGCCUUGUACACACCGCCCGUCACGCCAUGGGAGCCGGUAAUACCCGAAGUCAGUAGUCCAACCUCGUGAGGACGCUGCCGAAGGUAGGAUUGGCGACUGGGGUGAAGUCGUAACAAGGUAUC
rnacentral:rRNA from 1 species